GGAACCUGCGCCGCGGCUCCGGGAAGUCACGCUUGCGCAGUCCGGCGCCCUGGCCGCCGCGCCAGCCCGUCUCCGCCGUGGGGGACUGGGCAGUCUCGGCCCCUGCGCUUGCCGUCUUUUCCGGCAGUUGGGGCUCUUCCUGUCGUCUUCACACCCGCAACCGCCCCGCGGCCCCCCUCCUUCAGAGUCCCUGACGCGUCCCCUCCCCUCUCCGGUCGGCUGGCAGCUGCUGCGGGGGUUUCGCCUUUCCUCACUUCGAGACUGCUGGCCCGGCCGGCGUGUGCGGCUGUUCGCCGCCCCCAGCCCUGCCUCUCCCGUCAGCCCGGGGCUCCGGCUACAUUUAAUCUCCAAAAGAGUUUUAAAAGCUGCUAAGUAUCAAGUGAAGUGAAGUCACUCAGUUGUGUCGGACUCUUUGUGACCCCGUGGACUGUAGCCCACCAGGCUCCUCCAUCCAUGAGAUUCUCCAGGCAAGAAUACUGGAGUGGGUUGCCAUUUCCUUCUCCAGGGGAUCUUCCCGACCCAGGGAUCGAACCCAGGUCUCCCGCAUUGCAGGCAGAUGCUUUAACCUCUGAGCCACCAGGGAGAAGAACCUUAAGAAAACUUUCAAAAUUAAAAGACCCUUGCUCCUUGGAAGGAAAGCUAUGACAAACCUAGACAGUGUAUUAAAAAGCAGAGACAUCACUUUGCCAACAAAGGCCUAUAUAGCAAAGCUAUGGUUUUUCCAGUAGUCAUGUACUGAUGUGAGAGUUGGACCAUAAGGAAUGCUGAAUGCCAAAGAAUUGAUGCUUUUGAAUUGUGGUACUGGAUGGAGGAGACUCUUGAGAACCCUUUGGACUGCAAAGAGGUCAAACCAGUCAAUCCUAAAGGAAAUCAACCCUGAAUAUUCAUUGGAAGGACUGAUGCUGAAGCUCCAGUACUUUGGCUACCUGGUGUGAAUAGCUGAGUCAUUGGAAAAGACCUUGAUGCUGGGUAAGAUUGAGGGCAGGCAGAGGAGGGGAGGGGUCGACAGAAGAUAAGAUGGUUGGAUGGCAUCCUCGAUUCAAUGGACAUGAGUUUGAGCAAACUCUGGGAGAUGGUGAAG
rnacentral:lncRNA from 1 species